rnacentral:lncRNA from 1 species
CUCCUUCAGACUUUGUUAAUGUAUCAAGCUUUCAGGAACAUGGCAUGUCCUUUUCCUCACUUUCUAAAGAGCUUGCAGCCAAAUAAGAUGGGCCCAGGUGCUAAUUAAGUACCCCACCUUGUUCUUGCUUUCUCACUUGAAGCAAGAGGAGCAGCCGAUCAUUAAGAAAGUUUUCAGACUUAGUGCUGAUUAAGGAGGUUUGAGAUGUCUAUAAAAGAGAUUUCAAAUUAAGAACAGAUAAAAAUAGCACAUUCAUCCAAGUUUGAACGAUCUCGUUGUCAAAAUGAGGUUUGACACUGGAAACAUAAACCAGUCAGAGUGAACUAAAGUGCAUUAGGUUUCAAUGCCGAAUUCUGGAUAUUUUAGUUCCAAAUUAAACCAUGCAGCAUGUAGUAAACAAC